UAAUUCACGCUUGGCCCGUCCUCCUCCAGACGGGCCCUCCCUCCCCCACCCCCUCGGGCCACCCGCUCUUGAGUUGGAGAGUCCUGGCUCCCGUUCGGCUCACAGUCCGGGCAACAGAGGGACACGGGAAUGGACACAGAAGGGAGUCAGAGCAGCUUGUCGUCCUCCACGCAGGACUCCCCACACGACCCCUGCAAAAUGUUCAUCGGCGGGUUGAGCUGGCAGACGGACACAAGAAGGGCUGAAGGAAUACUUUUGUAAAUUCGGCGAGGUGAAGGAGUGUAUGGUGAUGCGGGAUCCGGUUACAAAGCGGUCGAGGGGGUUUGGAUUUGUCACCUAUGUAGACCAGACCGGUGUGGAUAAAGUUUUGGCCCAAAACAGACACGAGCUGGAUUCAAAAACAGUGAGUUGUUUCUUUUUUCGAUCGUUUUAUUAUUCUGUAUAU